GACGAACGCUGGCGGCGUGCUUAACACAUGCAAGUCGAACGGUAAGGCCCUUCGGGGUACACGAGUGGCGAACGGGUGAGUAACACGUGGGUGAUCUGCCCUGCACUUCGGGAUAAGCCUGGGAAACUGGGUCUAAUACCGGAUAGGACUCCGGACUGCAUGGUCUGGGGUGGAAAGCUUUUGCGGUGUGGGAUGGGCCCGCGGCCUAUCAGCUUGUUGGUGGGGUGAUGGCCUACCAAGGCGACGACGGGUAGCCGGCCUGGGAGGGUGACCGGCCAGACUGGGACUGAGAUACGGCCCAGACUCCUAAGGGAGGCAGCAGUGGGGAAUAUUGCACAAUGGGCGCAAGCCUGAUGCAGCGACGCCGCGUGAGGGAUGACGGCCUUCGGGUUGUAAACCUCUUUCAGCAUCGACGAAGCGAAAGUGACGGUAGGUGCAGAAGAAGGACCGGCCAACUACGUGCCAGCCGCCGCCGUAA
rnacentral:rRNA from 1 species